GACAGAAAGACCCUAUGAAGCUUUACUGUAGCUUGGAAUUGAAUUUGGGUUUAUUUUGCGCAGUAUAGGUGGGAGGCUAAGAUUAUAUAUUUGCGGAUAUGUAGGAGCCACAAGUGAGAUACCACUCUAAUUAAACUAGAAUUCUAACUUUGAUAGUCGUUAUCCGGCCAAAGAACAGUUUCAGGUGGGCAGUUUGACUGGGGCGGUCGCCUCCUAAAAAGUAACGGAGGCGUGCAAAGGUUCCUUCAGGCUGGUUGGAAAUCAGUCGUAGAGUGUAAAGGCAUAAAGGAGCUUGACUGCGAGACCUACAAGUCGAGCAGGGACGAAAGUCGGCCUUAGUGAUCCGACAGUUCUGAGUGGAAAGGCUGUCGCUCAACGGAUAAAAGUUACUCUAGGGAUAACAGGCUGA
rnacentral:rRNA from 1 species